rnacentral:rRNA from 1 species
AACGAACGCUGGCGGCAUGCCUAACACAUGCAAGUCGAACGAGACCUUCGGGUCUAGUGGCGCCCGGGUGCGUAACGCGUGGGAACCUGCCCUUAGGUUCGGAAUAACUCCCCGAAAGGGGUGCUAAUACCGGAUCAUGUCUUCGGACCAAAGAUUUAUCGCCGUUGGAUGGUCCCGCGUUGGAUUAGCUAGUUGGUAGGGUAAAAGCCUACCAAGGCGACGAUCCAUAGCUGGUCUGAGAGAAUGAUCAGCCACACUGGGACUGAGACACGGCCCAGACUCCUACGGGAGGCAGCAGUGGGGAAUAGUGGACAAUGGGCGAAAGCCUGAUGCAGCAAUGCCGCGUGAGUGAUGAAGGCCUGAGGGUUGUAAAGCUCUUUUACCCGGGAUGAUAAUGACAGUACCGGGAGAAUAAGCUCCGGCUAACUCCGUG